rnacentral:rRNA from 1 species
UUUCUGAUCUUGAGAGAAUUUGUCCGGGAUAUGUGAGUUUAUUCUUUCUUUUAUGGGAGAUAGAUUCUGAUCCUGUUUUAGACUUAUUCUUUCGAUCAUCCUUCGUGGAGAACAGUCAUGUGCGCUUCAUUGCGUCGGGCUGUGAUCCCGAUCAAUUACUUUGAAAAAAUUAGAGUGUUCAAAGCAGGCUUACGCUGUGAAUACAUUAGCAUGGAAUAAUAAUAUAGGACUUUGGUCUUAUUUUGUUGGUUCUGAGGACUAAAGUAAUGAUUGAUAGGGAUAGUUGGGGGUGCUAGUAUUCAACGGCCAGAGGUGAAAUUCGGUGAUUCGUUGAAGACUAACUCAUGCGAAAGCAUUCACCAAGGAUGUCUUCUUUAAUCAAGAACGAAAGUUGGGGGAUCGAAGACGAUCAGAUACCGUCGUAGUCUCAACCAUAAACUAUGCCGACUAGGGAUUGGUGGAUGUUGUUUUUUGUGACUCCAUCAGCACCUUAUGAGAAAUCAAAGUCUUUGGGUUCCGGGGGGAGUAUGGUCGCAAGGCUGAAACUUAAAGGAAUUGACGGAAGGGCACCACCAGGAGUGGAGCCUGCGGCUUAAUUUGACCCAACACGGGAAAACUUACCAGGUCCAGACAUAGUGAGGAUUGACAGAUUGAAGAUCUUUCUUGAUUCUAUGGGUGGUGGUGCAUGGCCGUUCUUAGUUGGUGGAGUGAUUUGUCUGGUUAAUUCCGAUAACGAACGAGACCUCAGCCUGCUAAAUAGUUGGGCGAAUACAAUGUCGUGCUUUGUAGUGUUUUUGUUUGAGUCUUUGAUUCUUACUUAAUACUCGGUGCGAUAAUUCGUGAUCAACUUCUUAGAGGGACUUUUGGUUUUUAGCCAAAGGAAGUUUGAGGCAAUAACAGGUCUGUGAUGCCCUUAGAUGUUCUGGGCUGCACGCGCGCUACACUGGCACGUUCAGCGAGUAUACAACCUUGACCGGAAGGUCUGGGUAAUCUUUGAAACCGUGCCGUGAUGGGGCUAGAUUAUUGUAAUUAUUAAUCUUAAACGAGGAAUUCCUAGUAAGCGCAAGUCAUCAGCUUGCAUUGAUUACGUCCCUGCCCUUUGUACACACCGCCCGUCGCUCCUACCGAUUGAAUGAUCCGGUGAAAUCUCAAGACUGAGACCUGUGGAAGAGAUGGUUUAUCUAUCUUUUAUCACUAGUUUUGGGAAUUUGAUUAAACCUU